rnacentral:rRNA from 1 species
UACGUAGGGUGCAGGCGUUAAUCGGAAUUACUGGGCGUAAAGCGUGCGCAGGCGGCUCCUUAAGUCAGAUGUGAAAUCCCCGGGCUUAACCUGGGAACUGCGUUUGAAACUGGGGAGCUCGAGUGUGGAAGAGGGGGGUGGAAUUCCAGGUGUAGCAGUGAAAUGCGUAGAGAUCUGGAGGAACACCGAUGGCGAAGGCAGCCCCCUGGGCUAACACUGACGCUCAUGCACGAAAGCGUGGGGAGCAAACGGG